GGGGGUGUCACGGUUUCGACUGGAGAGUUGUCCGGGUAUACGUUGCAGGUGGAGCGCCAACUCCUAAAAGGCACACCUUUAUAGCUGCCGACGAAGCAGACUAUACUCUGGCAGCAGCGUAAGCUGACCGCCACGGGCACCCGAUGCGCCGUUCUGAGCGUCGGGAUCGCUUGACAGAAAUCAGGACUUACCCGCUGUCGGGUCCGCACGGCAGAGGGGACAUCACCGCGGGCUCAGGGAGAAGUUGGUGGGUUGCCCGACCGUGCUUUUCCCGAAAUAACAACGGGCAGCUAAACCUGUAGACGCGUAUGCCUCGCUCUUUAGGACGGGGGUUCGACUCCCCCCACCUCCAUAU
rnacentral:tmRNA from 1 species